GCACUUUACCAACACUUGUGUUUGGACAACAUAUAAAGAAAAAAAAUUAAGCUGCACUUAACUUUCAAAUUUUUAGCAUAUUCAGUGAUACAAGUCAAACACCAGCUGGGGACGAGGUCUUUGUAUGAGAUCAUCAAGUUUGCAAGAGAAGAAUCUGUGCUUGUAAGCCAGUCCAACCCCUUUAAUCACCAGCCAGCAGCUUCAAGUACAUAGCACGCCUGUCCCAGGGCACAAAUUCCCAAGGGGAAGUCCUCCUCAACCACCUGUCCAUGGGCCACACAGAGCACUCCCCUUCCAAAUAGGGAAUUCAACACUGCUUCUCCCAGGUAUUACCCGAGCAGGGAACAACAACCCAACAGAGAGCACAGAGGAACUAGAUGCAACGUUUUCAGACCAGAACAAUGUAAAAAUGCACUUUUCAAAAAGCUUUGAGAAUUUCCUAACUUUGGCAGUAGAGCAUGAGACCAGGCUUCGGCCCUGUGCUGUGGUUCACGUUUCAUACCAACGCAGCAGUUUCUGUGCAGGGCAAUGAGUGACCCCACGGAUCUAACUUUUCCAGUAACAUCAUAGGUCUGGUAUACUCUUUCUAAUUACAAGCAUGAAUGAGAUGAUUUGUGAAGAAGUUUAACUCCUCGAAGCAAUAAAACGAGCAAGUUGCUAUCAGGAAUAAUUAAUUACACAAUGCCAUCAAGAGGAACACAUUGCAGACUCCUCCUUUCCAAAAACCACAACACAAGGUCAGACAGACAC
rnacentral:lncRNA from 1 species